UGAUGAAGGAGAUAGCACUGUGC
rnacentral:miRNA from 1 species